CACGUAGUUGGCCGGUCCUUCUUCUGCACCUACCGUCACUUGCGCUUCGUCGGUGCUGAAAGAGGUUUACAACCCGAAGGCCGUCAUCCCUCACGCGGCGUUGCUGGAUCAGGCUUCCGCCCAUUGUCCAAUAUUCCCCACUGCUGCCUCCCGUAGGAGUCUGGGCCGUGUCUCAGUUCCAGUGUGGCCGGUCACCCUCUCAGGCCGGCUACCCGUCAAAGCCUUGGUAGGCCAUUACCCCACCAACAAGCUGAUAGGCCGCGAGCACAUCCCCCACCCAAAAAAGUUUCCACCACCAGUCCAUGCAGACGGUGGUCGUAUCCGGUAUUAGCACCCGUUUCCGGGGUUAUCCCAAAGUGAAGGGCAGAUUACUCACGUGUUACUCACCCGUUCGCCGCUCGAGUACCCCCGAAGGGGCCUUUCCGCUCGACUUGCAUGUGUUAAGCACGCCGCCAGCGUUCGUCCUGAGCCAGGAUCAAACUCU
rnacentral:rRNA from 1 species